GCCACACAACUGCAACGCAUGCGCAGAGGGCUCCGAUCAGUUCCAUCCAUGUUCUCUGGUUGGCAGUUUAUUUAGUCUCUGUGAGCCCCAAUAGCCAGAUCCUGUGACCAAAUCACAAGACCAGGAGACAUCCAAGCUGCAGGUGUAAGGAGACACGAGGCACGGGACUGGAGGAAUGCAGAUUACAAGGUGGCAGUGCUGGGACUCAAACCCACAGCAUGCUAUACAUACAUGUCCUUAUGAGCUACAUCCUUAGUAUGGAAGAGACUCAUAGUAAGCAGCCAAGAAAAAUCCAUCUCCUGUGUAUAUCAAAAGGAGAAGAAUUUGAAAUGGUCUCUGUACAUUGUCCACAAUAAAGGCGCCUGUCCAGGAAAGACCAGAAGACUUUACCAGAGGUUUCUCUGACAUAGACAGAAGACGAUCUCUGUUUGAGAUUUUGGAAUUAGUUGUUUUUCUGUUACUGUGGCAAAGUACCUACCAGAAGGAACUCCAGGGAAGGAGGAAGCUGUAGUUUGGAUGACAGCAGGAAAGGCAUGGUGACUGGGGUGGCUGGUGGUGCACCUGGGUCCAUGACAGUCUGCGAUGUGACUUUACAUAAAGCGUCAACAAGAAGUAGGAAGUCCAGUAAUGGAGUGGGAUGACUCCUCAACCCUUAGGGCUUACACCCAAAUAAGACUUCCUCUGGCUAGGCCCUACCUGAUUAAGGCCCCACAACCUCUCAACACAGCAUCUUCCCCUGGGGAAGAUAGGAGCCUGUGAGACAUUUCUUCACCUUCCAGCCAUGACAAAUCCAGAUACCUGUAAAACCUAAGAAAGAGAGCAGAAGGAUACAUAGUCUGAAAAGGGAUUAAGCAUAUUAUAACACAGGAUCUCAAGCCCACUUAAGUAAAGCAAUUCACUCCCUAAUUAUAGACUAUUUAUCUACAGGGCUCCUUACAGCCAUGCCAAAAAUGCUCUAGCAAAAUAACAGAUUCUAGUUGAAGCACUGAUAACAUUCAGGUAGUUCUUUGGGAAGCUCAAAGACAUAGAAACUAAACUGUGGGAUUAGAGGGCUAGAAAGGCAUCUCAGUAGUUAAGAGAUGCUCUUGAAUCUCUUACUGCUCUUGAAGACAACCUGGAUUCAGUUCCCAGAACCCACACUGUGGCUCCUAAACAUCUGUAACUCCUAUUCCCUGGAAAUCUGGCACCCUCUUCUGGCCUCCAUGCAAGUUUAACACUCAUGCACAUAAAUAAAAAUUAAUAUAUUUUUAAAAAAUGCCAGGAUUAGGAAAUUUUCAAGUUCUUGGUACAUAGAGCUGUAGGAAAAGACCAGUUCAGUAAAACACCUAAGCCACAUUAACCCAAAACUCACACUCUGAGGUCCUAUUAUUUAAAAUGGAAUCAUCAACACAAAAUAUUAAGAAAUGAAAGAUGGUGAAUUCUACCAAUCAUUAAGAGAAGACACGUUUUCUAUUAUCUACAAUAUCUUUCAAAAUGAAAUAUUUGAAAUUUCCUACCUAGUUCUGUAAGAGUGACAUUACUUAAUGCCAAAUGCAAAGACUUUAUAAGAAAGGAUAAUACACACCAAUAUUUCUCAAUGGUGUAGUUACUAAAUUCCAAAGGGAAGUGGUAGCAGCUAUAACCCAACAGAAAAAUAAGAACUUUGCCUGCUGAACAAGUGGAGUAUAUUCUGUGUAGCAAAAUCGGUUUAAAAUCUAAUUGUUGUAGCCCAUAUCAUAAAGCUAAAUGAAAAUAGCAUGCAAUCAUAUCAAAUGGCACAAGAAAAAGUUUGACAAAAGUCUGGUUCUUCUUUGUGAUAAAAUUUCUUAACACACUAAGAGCCAAAGGGGCUUCUUCAAGUUGAACAAACUUCUCCAAGUAAUCCACAACUAAAAUCAUACUUCCCUGUUGCUAUGAUAAAAAACACCAUGACCAAAAGCAAUUUAGGGGAAAAAUGGCUUAUUUGAACUUACAGCAGUUUCAGAGGAAGACAGCUCAUAGUGUCCAAAAGGCAUGACAGCCGGAGCAAGGGCCCACUCAGCCUGUAGUCAGGAAGUAGAGAAAUGACAUAUUCUCCACACACAGAAAGCAGAGAGAGAGAGAAAGAGCACUGGACAUAGAGGCAAUCUAUAAAAGCUCUAAUCCUGCCCUAGAGACAUAUUUUCUCCUCAAGGCUCAGCCUACUAAAGUGUCCAUCACCCUCCCAAACUGCAUCACCAACUGGGAACUAAGCAUCGAAAAACAUCUGCUCAUUUGGGCAUUUUUCUCUUCACACCACCAUGCCAGGUUACAACACAAGGCUGUUGCUUAUCUACACACCAUCAACGAGCAAUUGGAAUUUAGAACUGAAAGCACAAUGUCACUAACAGUAGGAAUAAAGUAAUUAUAUAUAAAUCUAACAAAAUACAAGGAGGAUGUAUAUCCAUAAAAUCACCAGACUCAGAUUUUAAAAGUAUCUAAGCAGAUUUAAGUGGAGGUAUGUUCCCUGUUCAUGGGAUGGAAGUUUAAUACUAUUGCCAUUUCUUGCCAGCUUGGUCUAUAGGUUCAAUUUAAACUCGGUCAAGAUCCCAACAUGCUGAUUUGUAGAUAUUGGCAAACUUAUUGAAAGUUUAUAUGGAAACUCAGAAGACCCAAAGGAGCCAAUACAGCAUUGACAAAGAACAGAAACACAAAACAGGCGUUAUCUGACUUGAAGACAUUUUGUAAAAUUAAUAACCAAGGCAGCAUGGCAUUGGAAAGAGAAGAGACAAGUUGAUCAAUAGAAUGAAGUAAGAAGUCCAAAAAUAGACCCACACAAUAGAAUCAGCUGACCUUUGACAGCUUAGUGAAGCAAGGCAAUGGAGAAAUGACCCACUAACAAAGGUUAUUAAAACAAUUGAGUGUAUGAAUAGCAAACUAGACACAGACCUUUUAUCUCAUUAAAAAUUAACUCAAAAUCAAUGAUAUACCUUAAUAUAAAAAUGAAAAGUGUUAAAAUUACAAAAUUU